rnacentral:rRNA from 1 species
UGGCUAAUCCUGGUCGGACAUCAGGAGGUUAGUGCAAUGGCAUAAGCCAGCUUGACUGCGAGCGUGACGGCGCGAGCAGGUGCGAAAGCAGGUCAUAGUGAUCCGGUGGUUCUGAAUGGAAGGGCCAUCGCUCAACGGAUAAAAGGUACUCCGGGGAUAACAGGCUGAUACCGCCCAAGAGUUCAUAUCGACGGCGGUGUUUGGCACCUCGAUGUCGGCUCAUCACAUCCUGGGGCUGAAGUAGGUCCCAAGGGUAUGGCUGUUCGCCAUUUAAAGUGGUACGCGAGCUGGGUUUAGAACGUCGUGAGACAGUUCGGUCCCUAUCUGCCGUGGGCGCUGGAGAACUGAGGGGGGCUGCUCCUAGUACGAGAGGACCGGAGUGGACGCAUCACUGGUGUUCGGGUUGUCAUGCCAAUGGCACUGCCCGGUAGCUAAAUGCGGAAGAGAUAAGUGCUGAAAGCAUCUAAGCACGAAACUUGCCCCGAGAUGAGUUCUCCCUGACUCCUUGAGAGUCCUGAAGGAACGUUGAAGACGACGACGUUGAUAGGCCGGGUGUGUAAGCGCAGCGAUGCGUUGAGCUAACCGGUACUAAUGAACCGUGAGGCUUAACCUUACAACGCCGAAG